rnacentral:tRNA from 1 species
GCCCAGGUGGUGAAACUGGUAGACACGCUAUCUUGAGGGGGUAGUGCCGGAAACGGCGUGGGAGUUCGAAUCUCCCCCUGGGCACCC